rnacentral:rRNA from 1 species
UACGUAGGGUGCGAGCGUUGUCCGGAAUUACUGGGCGUAAAGAGCUCGUAGGUGGUUUGUCGCGUUGUCCGUGAAAACUCACAGCUCAACUGUGGGCGUGCGGGCGAUACGGGCAGACUGGAGUACUGCAGGGGAGACUGGAAUUCCUGGUGUAGCGGUGGAAAUGCGCAGAUAUCAGGAGGAACACCGGUGGCGAAGGCGGGUCUCUGGGCAGUAACUGACGCUGAGGAGCGAAAGCGUGGGGAGCGAACAGG